GGAGGCUGCAUAUUUUUAAAAUACCCCCAAAAGUACAAAGACGAAUGUUACAGCCCCUGUGUUCUCAUUAUCCAGGCUUAAUAAAUGUUAGCCAUUUUCCACUUUUGUUUCAUACAUAAGUUUUCUACAAAACGAGGACAACACCUUAGAUAAAGCUGAAGUUCAUGUUUCAUUCUGCAUCCCUUCCCCCAAGGGCUUCUUUUGCUCAAUAUGGGACUCAUGAGAGUCAUCGGUGUUGUGUGAGGCAGCUGUUUGUUGAUUUUCUGGACCAAAUAAUGUUCCACUGUGUGACUGGACGUACUGGGUCUAUCCGUUCUACCACUGAUGAGCAUAUUUAGAUCUACAAUCCACCUGGAAUUGAUUUUUGUAUAUGGAGUGAGGUCCCACACUUACGGGAAAAGCAUCACCCGAAAGUGAGAACGCCUAGAGGCAGGAAUCAUGGAGGCUUCCUUAACCGUCUGUCUGCAACAGCAGAGAUGGGGUCUUGCUAUGUUUCCCAGGCUGGCCUCAAACUUUGGCCUCUUGCCUUGGCCUCCUGAAGUGCUAGGAUUACAGGUGCUAGAGAAGACACUGCAGAGUAGAGAACAAAGGAAUCUUAGUAAUUGUUCAAUCCAAUCUCCAUACGUUAAAGAUGAAGAAACUGGUAUUGAGAAAAACACACAGCUUAUCCGAGGUUUCACUGCUGGUUGGUAGCUGAGAUGAAUUUAGAACCCACAUCUGAUGACUACACCAUAUUGCUCCCAGUUUCCCUGUCUGUUCCACAUGUAAAAGUCUGACUCUUCACUUCUCCUUUGAGUAUAUAGGCUUUUAACAUUUUUGUAUGUCAAGAUGGACUUCUCCUCAUACCCAGCCCCUGCCUUUUCUCCUCCCUUCAUACCUUGCAGGAUCUUUAAGAGAAUUUAAAAGGAGUUUUUUGUUUUGUUUUGAUGUAUCUAAUAAAAGUCAAGGGAGGGAGAGGGCCAGUAUAAGCAAGAGAACGGUUUACCUAUUUUGUAGAUGCUGUAGUCUGAGGAAUCAGAAACACACAAAGGUUUGAAGAACUGGUACAUGCUCCCAGGUGGGAAGCCAGGACUCUUGGUAGGAUCUUGAGGACAAGGCAAAGGACAAUAAGAGAGUGAGGGGAUCCUAGAGGUGGAAUCAAGGAAGAGAAACUAGAGAGAGAAAAAGGAACUGGCUAUCCAUCCAAGAUGGAUCCUGUGUGGACUGAUGGGUGGCUUGGCAUCAUCCUUUAGUAGACUUCAUGUGGUUGAAUAAUUGGCCAAUGGAAGGAAUUUCUUUUUUGGUAACAGACUGUGUGUGUACAGUUAUGGGUCU